ACUGGCCGUAUUCGCCUUAUCUGCAAUGUUUUAUCAUGAUAUAUCAAGGGUGAGCAUGAAAGUUGCCUAGCAAAUUUAAAAAUAAGGUAAAGAUAUAUCAUGAUUGAAAGAGUUUGAAUAAUAAGCUGGCUAUCCUUCACAAUGUAGUUGUGAAUUAACAUGAACAAAAUUUCAAAGCUGAAUGAACAUUGAAAAUGAACAUAACAAUUAUAUCUGAACUGACUGGUAAUGAAGGUGAUCAGCCUUUCAUACCUGAUGAAUACAUGCAAUAUGUACAGAGUACAAUUCAUAAAGCAUAUCUGUCUGAAACCACUCUUAAAAGAGUUUAAAUAAAAAGAACUUAAAAAACUUGCAAACUUGCCUGAACCGUUGAUUACCGUAACACAAU
rnacentral:lncRNA from 1 species